GGCUGAGGCUGAGGCGGCGUAGGUGCAGUUCCCCUCCGUUCUUUUCCAACCUAGACCUAAUUCCCCAUUGCAUUCUUUAGAGUUUUCCUCUUCUAAUCCUCCAGAAUUGUACUGUUUUCUGGUACCCGUUUUAAGCAGACCUCUCCCUGGGGGGCGGCCAGGCAGGCCUGCCCCCUUCUCCACAGACAGGUGGUCGUCGUGCUGGCGUCCGUCAGGGUGACCCGUAGUGGGAGAUCUCAGGACCAGACGAGGACUUUCGGGCCUUGGCACCGCCUUGGGCAGCUGGGUCAACUGGUGAAAAACAAGAUUGAAGAAGACGCUGGGGGAGCAGCAAACCGCUCAGGAUUCCAGAAAUCGAAAAACAACCGAGGUGCUGAAGCCUGAAGGUGCAGGCGGAUCCUGUUUCUGCUUUGAACGCUUCUGCUACCACUGGCACGUGGAGACUGAGACUCUGUGGCUUCCCUGCCGCGCGGUCGGAAACCGCAAAUACGACCCGGACGCACCGAAAACGGAAACUCAACUACAUGGACUCUCUCAAGUGUUCCAACAACGGGAAGAGCAGCGAGGCGCUCUGAAAGCCCGUGACAGUCUUGGGCAAACGAAGGGGCUCUUCCUGCGGAAAAGCGCUUUCAGCUCACUUCUCUCACCUGGAAUGGGCCUGCCUGCUUCCCACGUACCCAGACAGAGCGCAGCAGAGACGGAUAGCAGGGAUGCUCACUGCCUCUCCGCCCAUCCAAAUUUUAUGCCAAUUUAAGCACUCUCCACUUUUUCUCUCCUUCACCUUCCUGGAGCCGCUGCAACUGCUGCAGCCGCGGACCCCACAGGGUCUCAGCCUCUCUUUCGUUAUCAUGCUUUCCCUUGACGCAUGAAUUGCCCUCCGGGUGUUAACUUUCCCACGCAUCUCAGCUCUCAGAGAGUCUCAACGGCCGAGAAUGGAGUCUCAACGGCCGAGAACGGCCAAGCAAGCCUGGCUGAUUUUCAGAAUCAGCGGAGAGAUAUUUUAAACAAGGUCGAUUUCUGGCUUAGCCCAUCAGAGAUAAUGUAGGACUUCCUCCAAAGCUAGUACCUGAGCUGACUGUGGCACCAAAUUGUGGCUGAAGGUGGGAAGCGUCUACCUUUCCCGCAGGAACUAUGGCAUCUUAAGAACUAACUUGGCAAACGGCUAUUUCAUUUUGCACGUCGUGCCCAGAGGCUGAAACUCCUUAUAAAAAGUCGGUGCAGCAUCCUGCUGUCUCUUCUCGCCCUCACCUUGGCCUUCGUGCGUCUCGGAACCAGAGCCCCAGCAGCUGGGGAAACAAACCGAUGCGAGAUUUCCCGACCACGGUGCUGGCCCAGGCGUUGGCAAAGUCUGAAAAGAAGAAAAGAAAACAAACAAACAUACAAAUAACUACUUCAUUUAAAGAUGAUGGAGAGUCGAAGUUGUUUAAAAAACUCUUUGUGCACCUAAUCCUCAAGCGAAGAGUAGAGAUGGAUGGAAUGUGGAAGCAGAAUUAAGGACCAUCUCUGAACGUGUUACGUGGGAACCCGCAAUGAGAGUCUGCUGGAAAUUGGAUGCUGACUCUGCCUUCUACCCGUUAGGGUGUAAACUUCAAUUCGCCAGUUCAACUAAAGCCAGCGGCUGCUUCUGCACUGAGAAAUAGUCAAUCUGAAUCUUUACUACUGCGAUGUUUGUUGGAGACGUGAUUUUCGUGAGACUGUGCUGGUAGAGGCAAGUAACUUUCUUCCAAUCUGCUGAUUUGGCAAAUUGCAGAGGAAACAUGAAUGUAAAACCCCCCCAUUUGCGAAACAGACUGCACAGCGGCCUCAAAAGAAAGAAACAGAAUGAGAUUCCGAAGGAAGGAGGAUGAAAAGAGACAAUCUGUUUUUCGUCCUCUCCAGCCUCCAUUNNNNNNNNNNNNNNNNNNNNNGACGGCUUCAGGUAGGGCACCCUCUGAGAAGGAGCAGAGUGGAGUCAAGGGGGCUCUUGCCUGUGGCGCUCCAGUUCCCCCAUCCAGCACCACCUCCCUUGGAACAAAGACCUCAAAUAAUCUCCAUUUCCAGAAGCCAAACACAUCUACUGAAUGUUUCGCGGUGAUGGCAGAGAAAGUCCCUGCGAGCUCAUGAUGUCCUUCAUGGAUCACACGACAAAUUGGAAACAUGAGCAUGGGAGACAGACAUCACGUAGGCGCCCCAAAUAGUCCAAUAAAAUGAGCAACAUAAACCUCCUGAAAAAAUCUGGCGGUCCGCUGCUUUGCAGGGCUGGUCGAGGAUGGGAAGGGAUGGAAUUGGGGGUGUUGCUUAGAUGAAAGAUGAGAGCAGGCAAGGCAGGACUGGCUUCUGUUUCUUCGCGAACAAACCCUUGUGAACCCGGGAGCUGUGAAGAAUUAUUAGUAUCGCUUACGGUUUGGAGAAGGAGGGAGGGGAAGUUUCCUCUAUUUUGAAGACCCGGGCCCUGACCCAAUUCACAGCCAAUUGAUUUCUCGGGCAUAUGCAGUGUAGUCUCUCUUUCUCUCCAUCCGAAACAAUUUAACUUCUUAAAAAUUUGAAAAAAUUAAAACAGUACCCAAAAUAAGCAUAUACCUUUUACCCAGACUUAGCUAUCAUUAAUAAUUUUUUCCCAUUUGCUUUAUCAUUUGCUUCCUCUCUCCCAUUUGAGGAUAAGCUGCAAUACAUCAUGUUCAUUUACUCUUAAAUAGCUGUAUUUAACCUGCAGUCUGCAUUCCAAUUUGAGCAACUGUCCUGAGUUCCCCCUAGAAUGACAGGCUCUAGUCUAGUGUCAGGUAUUGCAUUUAGAUGAUGUGUCUUUUCUUCUUUAAUCUGGAACAUUUCCUUAGCUUUUUUCUUUUGUGACGUUGACAUGCCAUUUAAUAAUAAUAUGUUUUCUUCUUCCUCUUCUUUUUAAAAAUAGAAUAUCUUUUUCUUUGUUUUUGACCGAUGUUUUCUCUUGAUUAGAUUCAGGUUAUGUAUUCCCCAGUGGAAUACUACACAGAUAAUAUGUGCUUCUCAAAUUGUCAUACCUGGAGACAGAUAAGGACUACCUGUUAUUCACUGGUGUGGUUCAUUUUGAUCACCUGGUUUGUAGAACAGUGAUU
ensembl:lncRNA